AUGGAAAAAGCAAGAGGGUUCCAGAAAAACAUCUCUUUCUGCUUUAUGAACUAUGGAAAAGCCUUUGACCGUGUGGAUCACAAUAAACUGUGGAAAAUUCUGAAAGAGAUGGGAAUACCAGACCACCUAACUUGCCUCUUGAGAAAUCUGUAUGCAGAUCAGAAAGCAACAGUUAGAACUGGAUAUGGAACAACAGACUGGUUCCAAAUAGGGAAAGGAGUGUGUCAAGGCUGUAUAUUGUCACCCUGCUUGUUUAACUUAUAUGCAGAGUACAUCAUGAGAAAUGCUGGACUGGAAGAAACACAAGCUGGAAUCAAGAUUGCUGGGAGAAAUAUCAGUAACCUCAGAUAUGCAGAUGACACCACCCUUAUGGCAGAAAGUGAAGAGGAGCUAAAAAGCCUCUUGAUGAAAGUGAAAGAGGAGAGUGAAAAAGUUGGCUUAAAGCUCAACAUUCAAAUAAAUAAAUUAAAAAAAAAAGGAAAAGUAAAAAAAAAAAAAAAGCUCAACAUUCAGAAAACGAAGAUCAUGGCAUCUGGUCCCAUCACUUCAUGGGAAAUAAAUGGGGAAACAGAAGAAACAGUGUCAGACUUUAAUUUGGGGGGCUCCAAAAUCACUGCAGAUGGUGACUGCAGCCAUGAAAUUAAAAGACGCUUACUUCUUGGAAGAAAAGUUAUGACCAACCUAGAUAGUAUAUUCAAAAGCAGAGACAUUACUUUGCUGACUAAGGUCCGUCUAGUCAAGGCUAUGGUUUUUCCUGUGGUCAUGUAUGGAUGUGAGAGUUGGGCUGGGAAGAAGGCUGAGUGCCGAAGUAUUGUUGCGUUUGAUCUGUGGUGUUGGAGAAGACUCUUGGGGGUCCCUUGGACUGCAAGGAGAUCCAACCAGUCCAUUGUGAAGGAGAUCAACCCUGGGAUUUCUUUGAAAGGUAUGAUGCUAAAGCUGAAACUCCAGUACUUUGGCUACCUCAUGGGAAGAGUUGACUCAUUGAAAAAGACUCUGACGCUGGGAGGCAUUGGGGGCAGGAGGAGAAGGGGACGACUGAGGAUGAGAUGGCUGGAUGGCAUCACGGACUCGAUGGAUGUGAGUCUGAGUGAACUCCGGGAGUUGGUGAUGGACAGGGAUGCCUGGCGUGCUGUGAUUCAUGGGGUCGCAAAGAGUCUGACACGACUGAGCGACUGA
rnacentral:lncRNA from 1 species